rnacentral:misc_RNA from 1 species
GAUGAAGAACGCAGCGAAAUGCGAUAAGUAAUGCGAAUUGCAGAAUCCGUGAGUCAUCGAAUCUUUGAACGCACAUUGCGCCCCCUGGUAUUCCGGGGGGCAUGCCUGUCCGAGCGUCAUUGCAACCUUCAAGCGCGGCUUGUGUGUUGGGUCUCGUCCCCCGUGGACGGGCCCGAAAGGCAGUGGCGGCGUCCCGACAUGGUGCCCGAGCGUAUGGGAAUCCUCUUCCGCUCGAAUCGGCCCAUGCGGCGCUGGUCGUAACCAAAUUUUUUACCGGUUGACCUCGGAUCAGGUAGGGAUACCCGCUGAACUUAAGCAUAUCAAUAAGCGGAGGA